rnacentral:rRNA from 1 species
GAUGAACGCUGGCGGCGUGCUUAACACAUGCAAGUCGAACGAUGAAGCCCAGCUUGCUGGGUGGAUUAGUGGCGAACGGGUGAGUAACACGUGAGUAACCUGCCCUUAACUCUGGGAUAAGCCUGGGAAACUGGGUCUAAUACCGGAUAGGAGCGUCCACCGCAUGGUGGGUGUUGGAAAGAUUUAUCGGUUUUGGAUGGACUCGCGGCCUAUCAGCUUGUUGGUGAGGUAAUGGCUCACCAAGGCGACGACGGGUAGCCGGCCUGAGAGGGUGACCGGCCACACUGGGACUGAGACACGGCACAGACUCCUACGGGAGGCAGCAGUGGGGAAUAUUGCACAAUGGGCGCAAGCCUGAUGCAGCGACGCCGCGUGAGGGAUGACGGCCUUCGAGUUGUAAACCUCUUUCAGUAGGGAAGAAGCGAAAGUGACGGUACCUGCAGAAGAAGCACCGGCUAACUACGUG